rnacentral:tRNA from 1 species
GGAAGGUGGGCAGGACGGUAAUGCGUUAGUUUCGAAAACUAAUGUCCGCAAGGACUAACAGGUUCAACUCCUGUACCUUCCG